UAGAGAUUUCAAGAGAAACAAAACGGAAUUACAAGAGGAAAAAAAACAAUAGAAGAGAGGAGAAGAGAAACUUAGGCUAGAAACAAGGAAAGAGCUACGAUUUUGGGAGGAGAAAAAGCCCAAAACGUUACCAAACAGUUCCUAAGUUUCAGCUGCGCUAAAGGAAAUUUUGAGGCAAGUUUUAGCGAGUUUUGGUGAAUUUCGGGAAAGGUUCAAGAGACGACGAGGCGAGCAUAGUUAAGAGUAAUUCGUAAGAGGUACAGAUGAUUGGUUUGUUGAUCCGCUCGCUUAGGACAUCCAGCAUGUUGGUCGACAGUGCUCCUUUGUUCGGAGCCCUAUUUUGGUACUGACACUUUCUGUUGUGUAUAUAUAUAUAUAUAUAUAUAUAUAUAUGUUGUUCAAGGUAUGGCGGGGCCCUGUCCCGUCAUAUGACUAGGAUAUCAUUCUGUAGAGGUCUGUAGACAUGAGAUGUGGGUUUUGUAUAUAUGUUUUGGGUUUUUUGUAUUUCGUGAUGGCCUAUCGGCCCUCGUGCAUUAUAUCUAUUUAGAGAUCCCUUCUGAUCAUUACCUAUGUUUAUUCGAGUGAUGUACUAAGUGGGGCUAAGGGUACGUAUGGGUGUCCAACUCGGGCACCAGUCAUGGCCCACGGAGUUGGGUCAUGACAUUUAGUCAAUCAUGACAUGCUUGUGGAAGCAUGACCAACUUCAGAUGGUCAUAUCUUUCUUUUAAAUUUUUUCACAAUGUAAGGGGGUCUUUUAAUGUGAGAUAUUAUAAUUUUAGCCCCUUAUCAAGAUGGUGGCGGAGAAAUAUCAUGGUGAUGACUCCAUCAAUAGAGUCUUUACAAGCAGUAAAUAGAAGCAAAGAAGGCAACGAAGGUGAAGAACACAGUGACUGCAGAACAGAGAAGAGAAGAUGAAGAAGUGAAGAGAUGAAGUGUAGAGAGAAGGAAGAGAAAAGUAUAGAGAGAGAAAGAAAAAUCUGUAAAAUGAAUUGUGUA